GAGAGGUGCUACAUGGCUGUCGUCAGCUCGUGUUAUGAAAUGUUGGGUUAAGUCUCGCAACGAGCGCAACCCCUAUCGUCUGUUGCCAGCAUUAAGUUGGGCACUCUGGCGAGACUGCCUGGGUUAACCAGGAGGAAGGUGGGGAUGACGUCAAGUCCUCAUGGCCCUUAUGUCUAGGGCUACACACGUAAUACAAUGGCGCGUACAAAGGGAAGCGAACUCGCAAGGGGGAGCAAAUCUCAAAAAGCGCGCCUCUGUUCGGAUUGAAGUCUGCAACUCGACUUCAUGAAGUUGGAAUCGCUAGUA
rnacentral:rRNA from 1 species